UAUAUAUAGCAAAACAUCCUUUGUGGACAUCCAUAGAUAAGAAAUGGACGUUCAAUUAUCAACCGUUUGAUCGACAUUGAUGAACAUUAGUAUUGUGUGUUGUACUGUUCCGAACAAUAAUUAUCGUACAUAUUACUGUAUUAACUACUAUUCAUCAAUGUUAGUCGUUGAAUCAAAAUCUAACGGCUAAUAAUGAAUGACCAUAAAUUUCUUAUCUAUAAACGUCCACGGAAUGGUCCUCUAUAUAUAUAUCUCUCUCUCUAUAAACAUAUGCAUUUACAAGGGUAUAUUGGUAAUUACCUAUUGUUUCAGGGUGUGCAAGCAAAAGACACUUCCUUUGUCUCACCUUUUUGAAUUGAGUGGCAAACCACAACAAAUUCUCUCCCAUUCCUUCCUGACAUGACCUUACUUUUCUCCAUUUCAUUGAAUUGCAUUGAAUUCCUUCUCUUCUUCUUCUUCUUCAUCAUCAUCACUGGCUUCAGGGAAGAAGAACAAAUGCACCUCAUUGGUGUGUUCUUGUUAUGCACCAGCACCUAAAAACAACAUAGAAAGCAAAGAAGUGAGCAGUAAUGGCUACUUUAAUGAGCCAUGCCUUCAAACAAAACAACCUCUCAAGAGCAACAUCAAGAAGGCAACAACAGCAAUAGUAACCAAAGAAGAGGAGCAGCAGAAACAGAGGAAGGUUACUUGGCCUGAUGCUCAUGGCAUGAACCUUGCUCAUGUUCAUGAGUUUCAAUCAAGUGUGAUUGAAGAGGUGGAGCUUCAAGGAGUGAGAAAUUCCUGUGUUUGUGCCAUUCAGUGAUAACUUAUCUGCAGAUCAUACAUAUGAACAACAAGGAAAGAGAAGAACCUGGAGUACAAGAUCAUCAGCUAUUUAAGACAUAGGAUUGCCAUUGCCGAGCUUUUUCAAUGCUCCAGAUGAUUCAGUUGAUAAGAGAACAUCUCUAAUUCUCCUGCAAGUAAUACAAUGAGAAAAAUUGCUCUCAGGCUUUCUGAUUUACAGAAAAGAAAAUCUUGGAUAACUAUAAAAGGUAAUCAAGUAGACUUUACCAGAGAUCAAAUUUGGGCAUGAUGAAGAACACUUAGCCAGAUUGUAAUGAAAAAAUUAACAUCAGAGUACUAUAUGACCAAUUUCAAGUCAUUCCUGCAACCAGUACUAUUACGGUGAUUAUGUGAUAAAGAUAAACAACUAACAACAUUAG